UUGAUUUCAAACACUCCAUUUUUCUAACAUAUUUAUAUGUAAUUUCAGAAUGUGGACUUCAUUCCCCAGUCUUACUCUGAAGAAAAAAGAGCUACAAAGAGUAAUGACCCAUGAAUUCUGGAGAGAAACACAGUUGUUUCAUGUUUCCUUACAUUAUUCAGAAACAUUUUGCAUCUUCACCUUCUAAACUGGUUGAAAAGGCAUUGUCCAGCCAUCUGAGAAGGCAGGAGUGACUGCUUAUGCCACUGAUUUGUAAGAAUAAGGGAAGCUGAACAGACACAUGGAGAUGGAUGGGUGAAGUGAAGUAGAAUAUUACUGAAUAAUCUUCAACCUUGAAUGUGGAAAAUGAGAUACAGGAUGCCUAAUGUUUCAUUGACAUCCAUGAAAAGAGACAUGAAAACAUCCAAACCUCUCUCAGUGGAAGAAAGUUAAGGGGACCACAUGGAAAACCACAGCUCCAGUGAGAAGGGUGACCCUGGCAGGACAACAGGGAUCCCAUCCAUGCACCUCUCCUUGUGUGGCCACAUGGAGAGGCUGUGCCUGUUGCAUCACGAAGAAAAUCACGUUUGAGGCUGAUCCCUUUGAACUGCUGAAACCUGAUGACUUGCAAUCAAUAGGCUGUGAAACAAUAAGGUCAGCAGUGCGAAGAUUCCGAUUUUCUGCCUCUAAACGCAGACUCAUGUGCUGGAACACUGAGUGUGGCUGA
rnacentral:lncRNA from 1 species